GGUUAAGUGACUAAGCGUACAUGGUGGAUGCCUUGGCAGUCAGAGGCGAUGAAGGACGUACUAACCUGCGAUAAGCUGUGAGAAGUCGGUAAGAGACGCUAUUACUCACAGAUUUCCGAAUGGGGAAACCCACCCAGCACAAGCUGGGUAUCUAUUACUGAAUACAUAGGUAAUAGAGGCGAACCGGGAGAACUGAAACAUCUAAGUACCCCGAGGAAAAGAAAUCAACCGAGAUUCCCUCAGUAGCGGCGAGCGAACGGGGAUUAGCCCUUAAGCAUCUUGGAAGUUAGUGGAACGGUCCUGGAAAGGCCGGCGAUACAGGGUGAUAGCCCCGUACACGAAAACAACCUUGAUGUGAAAUCGAGUAGGGCGGGACACGUGACAUCCUGUCUGAAUAUGGGGGGACCAUCCUCCAAGGCUAAAUACUCCUGACUGACCGAUAGUGAACCAGUACCGUGAGGGAAAGGCGAAAAGAACCCCUGUGAGGGGAGUGAAAUAGAACCUGAAACCGUGUAUGUACAAGCAGUGGGAGCCCUUCGGGGUGACUGCGUACCUUUUGUAUAAUGGGUCAGCGACUUACAUUUUGUAGCGAGGUUAACCGUAUAGGGGAGCCGUAGGGAAACCGAGUCUUAACUGGGCGUCUAGUUGCAAGGUGUAGACCCGAAACCGGGUGAUCUAGCCAUGGGCAGGUUGAAGGUUGAGUAACAUCAACUGGAGGACCGAACCCACUAACGUUGCAAAGUUAGGGGAUGACCUGUGGCUGGGGGUGAAAGGCCAAUCAAACUCGGAGAUAGCUGGUUCUCCCCGAAAGCUAUUUAGGUAGCGCCUCGGACGAAUACUACUGGGGGUAGAGCACUGUUUGGGCUAGGGGGUCAUCCCGACUUACCAACCCCAUGCAAACUCCGAAUACCAGUAAGUAAUAUCCGGGAGACACACGGCGGGUGCUAACGUCCGUCGUGAAGAGGGAAACAACCCAGACCGCCGGCUAAGGUCCCAAAGUUCUGGUUAAGUGGGAAACGAUGUGGGAAGGCUCAGACAGCUAGGAUGUUGGCUUAGAAGCAGCCAUCAUUUAAAGAAAGCGUAAUAGCUCACUAGUCGAGUCGGCCUGCGCGGAAGAUGUAACGGGGCUCAAACCAGGCACCGAAGCCGCGGAUUCACGCUAAGCGUGAGUGGUAGGGGAGCGUUCUGUAAGUCUGCGAAGGUGUGUCGAGAGGCAUGCUGGAGAUAUCAGAAGUGCGAAUGCUGACGUAAGUAACGAUAAAGGGGGUGAAAAGCCUCCUCGCCGGAAGACCAAGGGUUCCUGUCCAACGUUAAUCGGGGCAGGGUGAGUCGACCCCUAAGGUGAGGCCGAAAGGCGUAAUCGAUGGGAAGCAGGUUAAUAUUCCUGCACGACUUGUAAUUGCGAUGGGGGGACGGAGAAGGCUAGGUGGGCCAGGCGACGGUUGUCCUGGUGAAAGUGCGUAGGUGGUGUUUCUAGGCAAAUCCGGAGACACAACACUGAGACACGAGACGAACACACUACGGUGUGGAAGCCAUUGAUGCCCUGCUUCCAGGAAAAGCCUCUAAGCUUCAGAUUACAAGUCAUCGUACCCCAAACCGACACAGGUGGUCGGGUAGAGAAUACCAAGGCGCUUGAGAGAACUCGGGUGAAGGAACUAGGCAAAAUAGUACCGUAACUUCGGGAGAAGGUACGCUCUUGUUGGUGAAGUCCCUUGCGGAUGGAGCUGACGGGAGUCGCAGUGACCAGAUGGCUGGGACUGUUUAUCAAAAACACAGCACUCUGCAAACACGAAAGUGGACGUAUAGGGUGUGACACCUGCCCGGUGCCGGAAGGUUAAUUGAUGGGGUUAGCGCAAGCGAAGCUCUUGAUCGAAGCCCCGGUAAACGGCGGCCGUAACUAUAACGGUCCUAAGGUAGCGAAAUUCCUUGUCGGGUAAGUUCCGACCUGCACGAAUGGUGUAACCAUGGCCAUGCUGUCUCCACCCGAGACUCAGUGAAAUCGAAUUCGCCGUGAAGAUGCGGUGUACCCGCGGCUAGACGGAAAGACCCCGUGAACCUUUACUACAGCUUGGCACUGAACAUUGAACCUACAUGUGUAGGAUAGGUGGGAGGCUUUGAAGGCGUGACGCCAGUUGCGCUGGAGCCGUCCUUGAAAUACCACCCUUGUAUGUUUGAUGUUCUAACGCAGGGCCCUGAAUCGGGCUCGCGGACAGUGCCUGGUGGGUAGUUUGACUGGGGCGGUCUCCUCCCAAAGAGUAACGGAGGAGCACGAAGGUUGGCUAAUCCUGGUCGGACAUCAGGAGGUUAGUGCAAUGGCAUAAGCCAGCUUAACUGCGAGACGGACAGGUCGAGCAGGUACGAAAGUAGGUCAUAGUGAUCCGGUGGUUCUGAAUGGAAGGGCCAUCGCUCAACGGAUAAAAGGUACUCCGGGGAUAACAGGCUGAUACCGCCCAAGAGUUCAUAUCGACGGCGGUGUUUGGCACCUCGAUGUCGGCUCAUCACAUCCUGGGGCUGAAGUCGGUCCCAAGGGUAUGGCUGUUCGCCAUUUAAAGUGGUACGCGAGCUGGGUUCAGAACGUCGUGAGACAGUUCGGUCCCUAUCUGCCGUGGGCGUUGGAUGAUUGAAGGGAGUUGCUCCUAGUACGAGAGGACCGGAGUGAACGAACCUCUGGUGUUCGGGUUGUCACGCCAGUGGCACUGCCCGGUAGCUAAGUUCGGAAUCGAUAACCGCUGAAAGCAUCUAAGCGGGAAGCGAGCCCUGAGAUGAGUCAUCCCUGACCCCUUGAGGGUCCUAAAGGGCCGUUGGAGACCACAACGUUGAUAGGUGGGGUGUGUAAGCGCGGCGACGUGUUGAGCUAACCCAUACUAAUUACCCGUGAGGCUUAACCAU
rnacentral:rRNA from 1 species